ensembl:lncRNA
AAGUGUUGUUCCAGGUAGACUGUGGGCUAUGGGGCUUUUUAAGUGAUGCAGAGACUGGAGCAGAACUCUGGCCCAACAGAGCAGAGUGUCAGAGGCCCCCUCCUCCAUGAAAAUUGUCACCUCCUUGCCACCGUCCACUUUGUGCUACCUACUGCCUCAAUCAGUGUUUCUUCUUGGUAAUCUUUCAAAGUUUAUACUUACUUCUCUUCUGAUCCCUAUUUGAGGAAUGUGAAUGGCUUAGGUUUUUAGGUUCGUUCCCCCCUCUCCCCUCUCUAGAUUAAUACAGCUAAUGUGGAACUAUGGUGCCAGGAGCUGCUGCUAGAGAAAAGCAGAAAAUGCAGGCCUCCCCUGGAUGCCUCCGGGCAUGGAAUUUUACUUCUCUGGUGACUUCUUAGGCCCAUGGGAAAGUGAGAGGAGGCGGCCUCCUGGGGGCGGCUGGCUCAGCCCCUGGAACUGGGAGCCGGAGCCAGCCCCGUAGUGUGUGGCCGUCAGUAUGACGCAGAGAGGCGUGUGAAUGCAGCCGGCUGCUGCAGCUGGUGCACUUGACUCUGGGCAGCGUGUUCCCAGGAACCCGCAGGACACCGAGGACAGAGAGUGAUGUAACCCAGAUCUGCCAGAUGUGGGAGCCAGCGUGAGUCACGCUGGACGAUUCAUUGAGAAAUGUUUUCUGGGUCAUCUGAGCAGGGAGCACUGGCUGCUUCCCCUGCCAUCUGGGGUUGGAGGCACCCAAGUCCACACACCAGGAAUUCCCAAGUUCACUAACAUCUGUCUAAAAUUACAGCCUGGUUCUCUGAGCUGACACAGUGCAGAGCCCAGACUCUGUGACGGUCCCAGGCCUGUAAUUUGUUCCCGGAUUUUACCACUUUGGGUUGUGGAGGGUGGGAGGUAAUCAGUUAAUAAAAACCUACAUGGAAGUUGCUGUGAGGUUUCUAUACAUUCUGUCAAGACCAGACAUGGGAUGGGAGGUUGCGAAAAGCCAACAGCGCUGUGGGCAUUGUGGCCAAUGAACUACCAGGAAUUGUGGUCUUCUUUUCUGUUAGAUAAAAGUGCAUGCAUACAUCACUAUGUGAAAUCGCACCCCCAGGUAACUAGAGGGUUGAAUGGUGGCUCCCAGACAGAGAGGUCCUUCAGAACCUGGGAAUGGGAUCUUAUUUGGAAAGGGGUUUUUUGAUAUUAAGGUUCUUGAGACCCUGAAUUACCUGGGUGGUCCCUACAUCCAAUGACAUGUCUCCUUCCAAGAGACAGAAGAAAAGAAGAGGCCACGGAAGAGAAGGCCACACGAAGAUAGAAACAGAGAUUGAAGAGCUGUGGACACAAGGAACAGCUCGAGCCGCCAGGAGCUGGAAGAGGCAAAUGGGAUUGUCCCCUAGAGCCUUCAGAAAGAGCCUGGUCCUGCCGACACCUUGGUUUCUGGCUUCCGGCUUCCAGAACUGUGAGAGAAUGAAUUUCUGUUGUGUUAGGCAACCAAGUUUGUAGUGAUCCACUAUAGAAACUAAGAAAAAAUAACCCACACCCAGAUCAAAGGCACAGGACCCUCAUGCCUCAUUCCUGUCUUCUCAUCACCCCAGGGUAACCGCUGUCCUGACUCCCAACACAAUAGAUGGGUUUUGCACCCUUGGAGCUUAAUUAAACAGAGUAAGAGUAUGUGGUUUCCUGUGUCACACGUCUUCCAUGCGGCACUGUAAUUGUGAGACGUGUCCUGUUGUUGUGUGCUUGGUCAUUCUCACUGCUGUGUAGUGUUCCAUGGUGUGAAUGCGCUAUAGUUUAUUUCUUCUCCUGGGGACAUCUGAGUCGCUUCCUGUUUGGCAUUAUUACAAAUAGUGCUUUUAGGGAAUAUGUGUAUUUUGUUGGUUAUGUUCUCAGGAGUUGAAUUGUUAUAUGAUCAGCUUUAGUAGAUAUUGCCAAACAGUUUUCCAAUUAAUUUUUAAAAUACCCAAUCAUAUUUGGAGUCCUUUUGUUAGAUGGAGACGCCAAUGGCACGAAGUCAGUAGCUGUUACUUAGUGUGAGUAUUUUGUAAGGCCCAAGUGUUGGAGAUAGGGUUUUUAGAAGAAGGUCCUUCUUCCUAGGUAGGACCUCUGCCUUCUCAGUAAGGAAUUCUCUGUGUCAGAAGAACCUGUUACAGGCCUGGGCAAGUGUUAGAGCACCCCAGUUUUGGGGAAUCAGAGAGGCUAAGGCAACUGAUGGUGAAUUCUAAAUAUUCUUCACCCAUCACUGGCAAGAUGAAUGGCACUGCUGCAGUAUCUCCCAUCUCCAGUCUCAGCAACAAAUUUGCCAUCUCAUAAGAGCUCCAGUUUCACUCUUUUCCAACUUUCAAGUUUAGGUCUAUGCUCUAUAACUUAGAAAGCAACCUAAUGAUAUGCAGUAUUUCUAAAUAUUCUGCUUUGAUAAGUCUGUGGGAAAACUACUGCUGUAGCAGAAUAAACUAGACUAAAAUUCUGGGUCCCUACCUGUCUAAAAUUGAGGCUGCUUCUAAUUUGUCUGAUGCCUCUAGAUCCUUGUGGAAAUAGGGGAGGGUGGGAUUGACCUCAAAGUACUGAAAUGGGGGUUGGAAAGGAGAGGAAGGUGUGGUGGCAGUAACCCAGCCAUCAUUGUAAAAAGAAGUCUUUGUUUUCUUACUAUAACAGCAAUGCAUCUUCCUUGCAGAAAAAUAUAGG